CUACGGGGCGCUGCAGUAGGGAAUCUUAGACAAUGGGGGAAACCCUGAUCUAGCCAUGCCGCGUGAGUGAUGAAGGCCUUAGGGUUGUAAAGCUCUUUCGCUGGGGAAGAUAAUGACGGUACCCAGUAAAGAAACCCCGGCUAACUCCGUGCCAGCAGCCGCGGUAAUACGGAGGGGGUUAGCGUUGUUCGGAAUUACUGGGCGUAAAGCGCGCGUAGGCGGGCUAUUAAGUCAGGGGUGAAAUCCCGGGGCUCAACCCCGGAACUGCUUUUGAUACUGGUAGUCUUGAGUUCGAGAGAGGUGAGUAGAAUUCCGAGUGUAGAGGUGAAAUUCGUAGAUAUUCGGAGGAACAUCAGUGGCGAAGGCGACUCACUGGCUCGAUACUGACGCUGAGGUGCGAAAGUGUGGGGAGCAAACAGGAUUAGAUACCCCUGUAGUC
rnacentral:rRNA from 1 species